UACGUAGGGUGCAAGCGUUGUCCGGAAUUAUUGGGCGUAAAGAGCUCGUAGGCGGUUCGUCGCGUCGGCUGUGAAAACCCGGAGCUCAACUCCGGGCCUGCAGUCGAUACGGGCGGACUUGAGUGUUGCAGGGGAGACUGGAAUUCCUGGUGUAGCGGUGAAAUGCGCAGAUAUCAGGAGGAACACCGGCGGCGAAGGCGGGUCUCUGGGCAACUACUGACGCUGAGGAGCGAAAGCGUGGGGAGCGAACAGG
rnacentral:rRNA from 1 species